CUAAAGGGGGUUUCUGAGCAGCUGUAUUAGCUAUGAACAGCUGCUUGACCAACCUCCCUGUUUUAGUGGCUUAAAACAAUGACAACAUAUAUUAUGCUUGCAAAUUUGCUAUUUGGGCAAAGCUCAGUGAAGAUAACUCUUUUCUCUUCCACUCAACAUCAACUGCAAAAGCUUGAAGGCUAGGAGCUGAGAUUAUCUGAAGACUUGUUCAUUCACAUGUAUGGUGGUUGAUGCUGGCUGUCAGGGCCCACCAGAGAGGUGAUGGUGGGCAAGAGUGGUCUUCAGAACUGCAAGGGACCUCACUGACUCCUGCAGACCCACCAGCCCAACUGCCUGGAAACUGCCAUUGUCCAAGAUAAUCUCCCACUUCGGGCCCCCAAUUUUAGUCUCCCAACAACGCGGGAUUCCGCCUCCAUCCGAUCCAGUGAUUGCAUCCAGUUCUUGGAGCAGCAUGGCGUCCACAGCCCUUUCUGCGGUGCCGUUAUCAACAUAGCACCAGAUUAUCCACCCAGUCUGAGAAUUUAACGCUGCAACUUCGUUCUUCUCUGUGGCUAAAACCAACUUUUUGGAUCCAGGGAAAAUUCCAAGACGGCAAACCUGAGCUUCCCCAAAUACCGCUGUCUCCAAACUUCCCCGCUUGGUCUCUAUAGACAGCAGCUGCACGGAUACGCAGAGAAGCCCAGAGUCAGAAACCAGAAGCCUACGGGCACAGCCGUGCUGGGAGCCUAGGCCCCGCCCGCUGCCGGCCCGGCAUGCACCGCGGCGCAGGCUCGGACUCCGCGGAAUCUGAGAGGAGGCACCGCACGCAACAUCUUUGAUAUUUAUGCCUUGUGUCUUUUUCGCACCUUAAUUCACUGGCAGGCAUCCCUCGGACCAAGUUGAGGACAAUAGAGCUCGCUACCAAGAUAUUUAAUCAUCUGAGGGAGAAGCCAAGAGACGCUUAGGUGAAUAACUACUCAAAUUAUUCUUCCAAGAAGAGGAAAGAUCACCUGAAGUGAAGAAGAAGAAAAUGAAAUUGAGUAAGAAGACAUAGAGUAGAAGAGAAGGAAAGGAAAGACUCUUCUUUGCAGCUUUUCCAUCAUGGUGGACUUAAGGGUUACUGGUAGUUUCUGCUCACUCAGCUCCUGAAUCCUAACAUUACAUUAGUAAAGGUUUUCCCCCUUAAAAUAUCCAGCUGGUCUGCUGCUGCUUUGUACUUUAUAAUCUUCCACCUUGAGCUGCUAAGACCGUGGUUCUUCACCUAGUUUGAGGAUGUAGGAUGGCUUGUGAAGUACUCAAGGCAAGAAAACCACAAACUCACAGUUCUUGCCUGAUACAGCAGCUAUCUUUUUAAAGGACACAGAAUUGCUAGAGAAAGUUUUAGAAGCAAUCUGACUUAAUUUUAGUCAGAGUUCUUCAUUUCAAGUGAAGGAAGCAGAUUCUGGCUGAUUCACCAGAAGUUUGUUAAGUAGGUAUUAGGAGCCCACAGAUUCACUGGGAAAAGAACAAAAAGCUCAACACUAAGCCUGCAGGAACGUACUCCAAACUGCAGAAUGUCUCACUGUGAAGACUUUGAUCAUAACUUACUAAGCACUAGAUUCUACAGCUUGCCUUGCUGAUGUCCAGGUAUUUGAUUUUGUUGCAAACUCAACUAUUGCCUGAACUUGCUGUGUGUGGCUGCCCUUGUAGCCACCACUGCUUGGUAAAGCCCAAUGGCUCUGCCAGCAUUCCUGCUGCAAGGUGGACCCAGAGUGCACUCCAUCCUCACGUGGCUGCCUCUUAAACCAAAAUCUCACUCUGCCUCAUGAUAUUGGUGGCCUCUCCUUAUGUGCUUGUAUUUCAGCCACAAGGGUGGGAAAUUGCAUUCCAACUUCUUUUGGGGGCAAAUAGGACAUGGGUAUUUCUCCAAUGUAGAAGAUAUAUUAGUUUGCCACUGCUGCCAGUACCGCAGUCUGGCUUAAACAACAAAAACUUACUUUAUCAGAUUUCUAGAGGCUAGAAGUCCCGGAGUAAGGUGUUAGCAGAGUUGGUUUCUUCUAAGGGCUUCUCUCCUUGGAUUAUAGAUGGCUGUCUACUCUCUCUGCCUUCACGUAUUCUUUCUUCUCUGUGUGUCUGUGUCCUAAUCUCCUCUUCUUAUAAGGACACUGGUCAAAUUAGAUGAGGGCCUACUCCAAUAACCUGAUUUUAACCUAAUAACCUGUUUAAAUACCCUGUCUCCAAAUACCACCAUAUUCUGAAGUAUUGAGAUUAGGACUCCAGCAUAUGAAUUUUGAGGUGACACAAUUCAGCCCGAAACAUAAGGGUAUUUUAAAAGCAUGGCAACUAAAUGCAGUGGAUAAUCCUGGAUUAGAUUUUAGAAUGAUAUAUAAGAGAACAAUAUUGCUGUAAAGGAGAAAACUGGGGCAAUUCAAGAAAUUCAGAUAUAGACUAUGUAUUAGAUAAUUGUUUCAUCCAUGUUAAAUUUGCUAAAUUCAGUCAUUGUACUAUGGUCAUGUAAGAGAAGGCCUUUGUUUCUAGGAGUUUCAUACUGAAGUAUUUAGAAGUAUAUAUCAUGAUGCCUGAGAUUUAAUCUCAUUGCUGUGCUAUUUUUGUACCUAAAUGGAAGGCUCAGAUUUUUUUCAAAACAAACAAAAAAAUUUUUAAAGGUGAUGGGAGGUUGCAAAAAUAUAGGAAAAUACAUUAAUCCACCCUUGACUGCCUCUCAUUGAUAUAUACUGUUCUUCAAAUUCUGAAAUAAACAACUCCUGCUAAAUGCAAUGCAACUCUCACGCUUCUGAAUAAAUACUGGUUUAUUCAGUGAUAGAGAAAUUCCAGGUGAUGGCAAGAUCCUUGGAAAUAGAUGAGAGAAUUUGAGUGAAGGUACAGAUCAUCAUUGUUGAGAAAGUCAAGAAAGUGUGAGGCUGGGGUAUUAAAAAUAUUUUUUACAUGGAUGUAGGAUGUCCUUCACAGGAUAAUAGAAUGGAUUUUGUUGACUGCAAAUAGUGAGACAGGCUUCAGAAUGGAUGUCUCUGAAGAAGUGACUAGGAAGUUAGUAGAAUUGAAUGGUGGAAAAAAUAUAUAGGAGGGUGUGCGAGUUACAUGUCAUUUACUUCGAAGGAAAGGUGGAAAUGGAAGGGAAAUGCCAACAACAUCCUGACUUUGUAAUGUGUUGGACAUGAGAGAAGGCGGGACCACGAUUUCCAGAGCUCUACAAGGGAGGGAUUGGCCUUGAGGGAAGAUCAGGUUUCAGUUAAAGCCAAAAAAAGGGAGGACUAGGUAGGUCCUUAAAGAACUUGUGGGCUAUAGGACAGGUUGCUAUUGAGGGGUCAGAGAUUGUAAAAAACUUUGAAUAAUAUUAAGUAGAAGCACAGUCAGUCCCCUACAUACGAACCUUCAAGUUGCGAACUUUCAAAGAUGCAAACAUGCUACUACCCAGACAUUACUGGAUCGUUUUUUCAAGAGGGUAGAUAGAACUGAAUCCAGCAAGGAACCAGAACCUGUGCCAUCAACAUCAGGCGUGAGUGAAAUUGCAGCUCGCCCUCCGUCUCCUAUUGCUGACGAUCCUUCAGCUCUACCACCUGCCACCUCCUUUCCGUCCUCUAGUCAGUAACUCUUCUUGCCUGUUCACUCAAUGCCAGCCCCUGUAUGCCAGCUGUUGUAUUACUGUACUUUUCAAGGUACUGUACUGUAAGAUUAAAAAUGUUUUCUUUCCUUAUUUUUUAAUGUAUUAUUUGUGUGAAAAGCAUUAUAAACCUAUUACAGGUACAGUACUAUAUAGCCGAUUAUGUUAGUUGGGUACCUAGGCUAACUUUGCUGGAUUUACAAACAAACUGGACUUACGAACACGCUCUCGGAACAGAACUCGUUCGUAUGUGGGGGACUUACUGUAUGUAUGCAAAGUGUCCCUUUAACACUGAAUUGUUUUUCUGCAAUUGUCCAAUGAGAUAUUCCAACUUUGUUUAGUCUCUAAGGUUAAAAUUUUAAACAGUGUUAGUGUACAGUGUCUAAAGUUGCUCUCCAAAACAAUCAGAGAAAUAUUGGAAUUUUCAUUGUUAGAUAAUGUCUCAAAAUUGUAACAUUCAAGGGUUUUGUUUCUUUAUAAAAAUUAUAACAUUCUCAUUUUAAUUAAUUUAUUAAAAUUUUAAUGGAAAAAGAAUAAAACACAGCACAACAUAAAUUUUAAAAAUAUAUGUAGAUUCAUUGGUAGAAGAUUAUUUUAACAUCAGCAAAGAAGAGAUCGUAGAAGAGGGUUUUAAGGAAAAGCUAAUGUGACCUUAAAGGAAUUUGCACUCUUUGGUCUCCACACAUGUGCAGUUAUCACAGAGUUCCCAGACUCCAAGUGUUUAUUCACAUCUGUCAGCUAAAUCAUAGAUCCAAAUGCGAAACGUAACACUCAGGAACAUUAUGUGGAUUUGUGACACUCCCUGGAGGACUUUGGGUCCAUAAAGCAAUGAAUGGAUUAUAAGAAGACAUAAAUAUGGUAUUUUCAUCUAUGACAGAUGCAAUCUUACUCCACUGUUAUUUAUAUUAUAUAAGGAAAACUGAACCUAUUUUCCUCAGUCGAACUGAAGGGAGGCACCCUUAGGGAUGAAUAAAUGAAUAUCUCACUAUGAAUUUCCAAUUCCUAUGAAUUCAUCUUUGAAAACAUCAUGUUUUAGAGAUUUUUUUAAAUGGCUGAUGUUUGUUUAUUUUUAUACUUAUGUGAAAAAAAUGGAACUAAAAGGAAAAUGUGAGAUGGAAUUGUGAUAACAGAAUCAUAAAUUUUUCAUUUUUUGCCAUUAUCCUGAAUCCUGCAAAACUUACCUAACUUUGGAUUCUAAUGACCAGUUGGACACCCCAACCAGGUUCCUAUAAAGCCUGCUUUGAGUCUCUUAACAUGCUCUGUGUCUCUUAACAUGCUUUGCAUCCUCAUCUCCAGUUCAUGUUAGGGAGGUAGGAUGUAUGGAGUUCUGGAAAGAGCACAGGUUUUGAAUUUAGAGGAGCAAUGCUCUAGUAUUAAUUCCACCUAGAAUCUAUCUUUAUAAACUUGAAGAUCUUGGAUUGAACUAGGAGAUGCCCUAAGCUUUGUAUACCUUUAAAAUGAUACUAAGCUUUUGUAUCACUAUUUAUACUAAUUUCAAUUUUAAUUGACAAAACUUUAUAUUGUAUGUUUUAAGGUGGUCUAAUUGUUUGUUUAUCUUCAUAUAAAAUCUUCAAUGUCCUCCCAAUGGUGUAUCAACUUAUAAAAAAUCCUCCUGAACCUGAUAAAAAUUGUUAGGGAAAAUAUGUAGUCCAAGACUGAAAUAUGUUUUCCUUUAUUGACUAGAACUGAUUAAGAUAUAGUGAAUUUAUGUUGAUGGACAGUGUGGCAUUGUAGAAGGAACCAGUAGCAUGUCAGUAUAUCUGAAUUUCAAUUUUAUCUUCUGUAAAAUAUUGCUAAGGAUCCCAAAUGUUCCUAAUGACAGGAAAUAAUGUAUAUGAUAUAGAAAGUUACCAGCCAUUGAAAAUGUUGACUUGGUUUUUGUUCUAAGAUUAUUUCUGAUUUCUUUCCUAUUAUUUUAUAAUUUUUAUAUUAUCCUAAAUUUUGUUUGAGUUUCUAAUAGUGUCUUAAAUAACUUGACAUUUGGCUCUGUCAUAUUAUCCUACCCUUAUUUUCUUCUCUCCACUUUUUCUUUCUUAUUUAGAAUUCAAGCAAAUAAACAGUGAACUUUCUUUACUGUCAUUGCAUUUUAAUGCCACCAUCACAGUUUUAACUAUUAUCGAAUUAUAACAAAUUUUAAUACAU